UCAUAUCUCAGUGGCAGAGCACUGGUCUUGUAAACCAGGGUCGUGAGUUCGAUCCUUUGGAAAAA